UACGUAGGGGGCGAGCGUUGUCCGGAAUCAUUGGGCGUAAAGCGCGUGUAGGCGGCCCGAUAAGUCCGCUGUGAAAGUCCAGGGCUCAACCCUGGGAUGCCGGUGGAUACUGUCGGGCUCGAGUCCGGAAGAGGAGUGUGGAAUUCCUGGUGUAGCGGUGAAAUGCGCAGAUAUCAGGAGGAACACCAACGGCGAAGGCAGCACUCUGGGACGUGACUGACGCUGAGACGCGAAAGCGUGGGGAGCAAACAGG
rnacentral:rRNA from 1 species